GAUGAACGCUGGCGGCGUGCCUAAUACAUGCAAGUCGAGCGAACGGACGAGAAGCUUGCUUCUCUGAUGUUAGCGGCGGACGGGUGAGUAACACGUGGAUAACCUACCUAUAAGACUGGGAUAACUUCGGGAAACCGGAGCUAAUACCGGAUAAUAUUUUGAACCGCAUGGUUCAAAAGUGAAAGACGGUCUUGCUGUCACUUAUAGAUGGAUCCGCGCUGCAUUAGCUAGUUGGUAAGGUAACGGCUUACCAAGGCAACGAUGCAUAGCCGACCUGAGAGGGUGAUCGGCCAUACUGGAACAGAGACACGGUCCAGACUCCUACGGGAGGCAGCAGUAGGGAAUCGUCCGCAAUGGGCGAAAGCCUGACGGAGCAACGCCGCGUGAGUGAUGAAGGUCUUCGGAUCGUAAAACUCUGUUAUUAGGGAAGAACAUAUGUGUAAGUAACUGUGCACAUCUUGACGGUACCUAAUCAGAAAGCCACGGCUAACUACG
rnacentral:rRNA from 1 species